UACAGAGGGGGCAAGCGUUGUUCGGAAUUACUGGGCGUAAAGGGCGCGUAGGCGGCCUGCUAAGUCGAACGUGAAAUCCCUGGGCUCAACCCAGGAACUGCGUCCGAUACUGGUUGGCUUGGAUCCGGGAGAGGGAUGCGGAAUUCCAGGUGUAGCGGUGAAAUGCGUAGAUAUCUGGAGGAACACCGGUGGCGAAGGCGGCAUCCUGGACCGGCAUUGACGCUGAGGCGCGAAAGCCAGGGGAGCAAACGGG
rnacentral:rRNA from 1 species